GGGGGUGUAGCUCAGUCGGGAGAGCGCUUCGUUUGCACCGAAGAAGUCGCGGGUUCGAUUCCUGUCACCUCCA
rnacentral:tRNA from 1 species